AGUCACUGACAUUAGAUACCCGCGUAGUCCAGGGUGUAAACGCUGCAGACUUGGUGUUGGAAGUCCUUUGGGGGCAUUCAGUGCCGGAGAGAAGUUGUUAAGUCUGCUACUUGGGGAGUACGUCCGCAAGGAUGAAACUUAAAGGAAUUGGCGGGGGAGCACCGCAACGGGAGGAGCGUGCGGUUUAAUUGGAUUCAACACCGUAAACUCACCAGGGAAGGCUGUUACAUGAAAGCCGAGAUGAAGACUCUGCUAGAUUUUCAG
rnacentral:rRNA from 1 species